rnacentral:rRNA from 1 species
UACAGAGGGUGCGAGCGUUGUCCGGAAUCACUGGGCGUAAAGGGCGCGUAGGCGGCGUUUUAAGUCGGGGGUGAAAGCCUGUGGCUCAACCACAGAAUGGCCUUCGAUACUGGGACGCUUGAGUAUGGUAGAGGUUGGUGGAACUGCGAGUGUAGAGGUGAAAUUCGUAGAUAUUCGCAAGAACACCGGUGGCGAAGGCGGCCAACUGGACCAUUACUGACGCUGAGGCGCGAAAGCGUGGGGAGCAAACAGG